CCGGCGACCGGCGCACGGGUGAGUAACACGUAUGCAACCUGCCCUCCGCAGGGGGAUAACCCGGAGAAAUCCGGGCUAAUACCGCGUGGUACAUCUGUGGGGCAUCCCACGGGUGUUAAAAGGAAGCGAUUCCGGCGGAGGAUGGGCAUGCGGCGCAUUAGCUAGUUGGCGGGGUAACGGCCCACCAAGGCGACGAUGCGUAGGGGUUCUGAGAGGAAGGUCCCCCACACUGGUACUGAGACACGGACCAGACUCCUACGGAAGGCAGCAG
rnacentral:rRNA from 1 species